GUUUUCCCGCUCGCUCCGCACUCCGCAGCAUCACUCACAGUAUGUGUCUGCGGCGCUUGUGAACACGACAUUUCACGAAAACUGUCACAUUAACAGGUAGGCUAUGCAAGACAGUGGUUGAAUCUGCUAAAAAAAAAAAAAAUAUUUGUAUUUAUGUCGGUAAUGUUUUGUGCUCUUGGUCUUCUACUAGUGCUAACAACUUGUACAAUAUAUCCACAUUCUAAGAAGCUGCUUGUCUAAUCAAAUUAUAAUUGUACUCUCGAUCAGAUCAGAUCUAAUACAAAUAACUACAUUUUCUGUUGUUGGCACACUUUGUAGACAAGACAACCAUAAAAAAAACAAAAAAACAAUGCCUUCACAAAAAAGAAGACAGAGACAGAGAGAGAAAGAGAGAAGGGAGGCUGCUAAAGGCAGUUCAACGUUGCAAACAUGGAUUCAAAGCUCCAGCAAGCCAGCAGAUGAGGCAGAGGCAGGCUCAGAGAGUGAGGGAGAGCCCAUUCAGCAUCAGCCAAAUCAGACACUUACAGGCCACUGCCCCUCAAAAUGUCUGUGCACGGCCCU